GACGAACGCUGGCGGCGUGCCUAAUACAUGCAAGUCGAACGCUUCUUUCCUCCCGAGUGCUUGCACUCAAUUGGAAAGAGGAGUGGCGGACGGGUGAGUAACACGUGGGUAACCUACCCAUCAGAGGGGGAUAACACUUGGAAACAGGUGCUAAUACCGCAUAACAGUUUAUGCCGCAUGGCAUAAGAGUGAAAGGCGCUUUCGGGUGUCGUUGAUGGAUGGACCCGCGGUGCAUUAGCUAGUUGGUGAGGUAACGGCUCACCAAGGCCACGAUGCAUAGCCGACCUGAGAGGGUGAUCGGCCACACGGGGACUGAGACACGGCCCAGACUCCUACGGGAGGCAGCAGUAGGGAAUCUUCGGCAAUGGACGAAAGUCUGACCGAGCAACGCCGCGUGAGUGAAGAAGGUUUUCGGAUCGUAAAACUCUGUUGUUAGAGAAGAACAAGGACGUUAGUAACUGAACGUCCCCUGACGGUAUCUAACCAGAAAGCCACGGCUAACUACGUG
rnacentral:rRNA from 1 species